CAUAACGAUUCAGGAGCUAGCAACAACAACAUGUGCAAAAAUGUGCGCAACAUCUUUUGAAGACAAUUACAUUGCACAUUUUUGCAAACCGAAUCGAAAAGUACUAACUAACAGUUUAUCUAAGUCAAUUAUUUGUGAAUGAAGAUUCUGUUAACUGGGACAAGAAGAAGAGAGCUGCUCCGAAUGCAGAUUCUGUUAAUUGGGACAAGAAGAAGAGAGCUGCUCCGGUCGUUUUUUGACUCUGGAAGGACGAGCACUGCUAAAAAAUACUAUUGACAAGAUAGCACAACUCUAGCCCAGAAGGUUAUACCACUGACUCCAGAUAUUCACCUUAAAGUAGAAACUUGAUCACAGCAUUUCAACCUUACUCCUAAGACAUCGGCUUAUUACAAUGUGCGUAUUUAGUUCACCAACACCUUUCACGAUCCCAUUUAUACUGACACACAAAGUAGAUUUUUAUUAAUUUUAUAAAGUAUAAAUUAUAUUGCGUCACUUAUAUAAUUAUAAAUUAUAUAUUUCUGUUACACGGCAUCAAGGUCGUGAUAGGACCGAAUAAGUUAACAUAAUGCUGGAAUCUUCCAAUAAGUGGACACAUCAUUUGAAAAUUUUUUUGUUUAUAUUUUUCGGUGAUGGAUUAUUGACAUGCUAGGACACUGACGUUGGGUAAAACCAAAAACCCGUAUGACAAAGAUGGCACAAUAAUUGGCCAUGUUCGCGACCUCACCGGAUGUAGACUUGGAAGGUUGUCUCCAGUCAUGCGCAGUUUCUGCCCAUUCAAUUUAACAGAUCUGGAAGGGAAAACGAUGAUUUUGUUUGAAUAUAGCUCGAUGGCAACCGAUACAAAUUGAAUUUGUUUUAGUGGUUAUGGACAUAUUUCAUUUUACAAGCAGUGAAGUACGUGUAAGUGGAUAGCCUGAUCAUGAUGUUAGGGUGGCUAUCACAAUGUGUGUCAGCGUUCUGUGAGUUAUGACAAAACCACAUUUGUCUUCGUGAUAUCUUUCCAUCCGCUCCCACAAUAUUACCUCAAGAGAUAAUAUUUAGGCCCUUUACUACCUCAUACAUAUAUUUUGAAAGGACUUAUCUCAGUAAUUGCACGAAAGGAUCGACGCAGUUA